rnacentral:rRNA from 1 species
AAAUGAAUUGACGGGCACCCGCACAAGCGGUGGAGCAUGCUGUUUAAUUCGAAAAUACGCGAAGAACCUUACCUAGAUUUGACAUCCCCGGCAAUGCUAUAGAAAUAUAGCGGAGGUUACCCGGGAGACAGGUGGUGCAUGGUUGUCGUCAGCUCGUGUCGUGAGAUGUUUGGUUAAGUCCAAUAACGAGCGCAACCCUUAUCUUUAGUUGCCGGUUUACCGGAUCUCUAAAGAUACUGCCAGUGUAAGCUGGAGGAAGGUGGGGAUGAGGUCAAAUCAUCAUGCCCCUUACAUCUAGGGCUACAGGCGUGCUACAAUGGCCGAUACAACGAGUCGCUACACGGUAACGUGAUGCUAAUCUCUGAAAGUCGGUCCCAGUCCGGAUUGAGGUCUGCAACUCGACCUCAUGAAGUUGGAAUCGCUAGUAAUCCCGAAUCAGAAUGUCGGGGUGAAUACGUUCCCGGGUGUUGUACACACCGCCCGU